AGAAUCCAGAUCCUCCUGAGAUUGAAUGUAUCACUUAGGAUUUUUUUUUCCCUGGAAGCAGAAGGCCUUUAACCCCCUUCAAACAGUGUUCACAGAGUGACAGUUGGAGGAAGAUAAAUAUGUACAUACCAUUGAUAUUGAUAUCUCGCAAUCAGAAGUUCUUUAAGCCAAGUCUGCCCUUUUUGGUCUAGUGUCUCUGACUGGAUAUAGUCAGGAUGCUGAGAGUCAGGAUGAUGGCACCAGAAUCCCAACAUGCAUCCAAAAUGCCGAUGCUGGAAGUCUGACAUUAGCCAAAACGCAGAUGCUGGAAUCCCAACACCCGGCAUC